GACGUAGGGGGCAAGCGUUGUUCGGAAUUAUCGGGCGUAAAGCGCUCGUAGGCGGGACAGGAAGUUCGUGUUGAAAGACCUCGGCUCAACUGAGGGACCGGCUCGAAUACUCUUGUUCUUGAGGCAAUCAGAGGGUGAUGGAAUUCCCGGUGUAGCGGUGAAAUGCGUAGAUAUCAGGAGGAACACCGGUGGUGUAGACGGCUCUCUGGACCGUAACUGACGCUGAGACACGAAAGCGUGGGUAGCAAACAGG
rnacentral:rRNA from 1 species